rnacentral:rRNA from 1 species
CCUACGGGGGGCAGCAGUGAGGAAUAUUGGUCAAUGGGCGAGAGCCUGAACCAGCCAAGUCGCGUGAAGGAUGAAGGAUCUAUGGUUUGUAAACUUCUUUUAUAUGGGAAUAAAGUGAGGAACGUGUUCCUUUUUGUAUGUACCAUAUGAAUAAGCAUCGGAUAACUCCGUGCCAGCAGCCGCGGUAAUACGGAGGAUGCGAGCGUUAUCCGGAUUUAUUGGGUUUAAAGGGUGCGUAGGUGGUUAAUUAAGUCAGCGGUGAAAGUUUGUGGCUCAAACAUAAAAUUGCCGUUGAUACUGGUUGACUUGAGUAUAUUUGAGGUAGGCGGAAUGCGUGGUGUAGCGGUGAAAUGCAUAGAUAUCACGCAGAACUCCGAUUGCGAAGGCAGCUUACUAAACUAUAACUGACACUGAAGCACGAAAGCGUGGGGAGCAAACAGGAUUAGAUACCCGUGUAGUC